AGUUUAUUGUUUUUUAUAAUAAAUUUUUUCUGCCCGGUGAAUAUUUUAACGGCCGCGGUACUCUGACCGUGCAAAGGUAGCAUAAUCAUUUGUUCUUUAAUUGGGGACUAGAAUGAAAGAAAGGUUGAAAGCAAAGCUGUCUCUUUUAAGAGCAAGAAAUUGCUGUUGUUGUGAAGAAGCAAUAGUCUGUCAAAAAGACAAGAAGACCCUAUUAAGCUGUACUUUUUCCAUUGAAUUUUUUCUUUUUAGUAAAAAAAUUCAAUGGAAAGGGUUUAGUUGGGGUGACUGAAGAGGAAUAAACUUUUAUCCUCUUUUGUUUAGAAAACUUUAGGUUUAAUUUUGAUCCAAUAUUUUUUGAUUGUAAGAAUUAGUUACUAUAGGGAUAACAGCGUAAUUUUUUCAUAAAGUUCUUAUUGAAGAAAAAGAUUGCGACCUCGAUGUUGACUUAUUGUUUCCUUAAAAGGUGUAGUAGCUAAAAAGGUUAGUCUGUUCGACUAUUAAAACAAU
rnacentral:rRNA from 1 species